GACGAACGCUGGCGGCGUGCCUAAUACAUGCAAGUCGAACGAAGCUUUUUUAACUGGUGCUUGCACCGACUUAAACAACUGAGUGGCGAACGGGUGAGUAACACGUGGGUAACCUGCCCCAAAGCGGGGGAUAACAUUUGGAAACAGAUGCUAAUACCGCAUAACCACAGAAACCACAUGGUUUCUGUGUCAAAGAUGGUUUCGGCUAUCACUUUGGGAUGGACCCGCGGCGUAUUAGCUAGUUGGUAAGGUAAUGGCUUACCAAGGCAAUGAUACGUAGCCGAACUGAGAGGUUGAUCGGCCACAGUGGGACUGAGACACGGCCCAAACUCCUACGGGAGGCAGCAGUAGGGAAUCUUCCACAAUGGACGAAAGUCUGAUGGAGCAACGCCGCGUGAGUGAAGAAGGUUUUCGGAUCGUAAAACUCUGUUGUCAGAGAAGAGGAACGUAUCUAAGAGUAACUGCUUAGGUAGUGACGGUAUUUAACCAGAAAGCCACGGCUAACUACGUGCCAGCCGCCGCCGUAA
rnacentral:rRNA from 1 species